GGUGGUUCUUGGGUGACGCACCCCGGAAUAGGGCCCCCUCCUCCUCUCUGGUUCUGGGUGUGUCACCCAAGAACUGCA
rfam:Myotis lucifugus cont2.17106, whole genome shotgun sequence.